rnacentral:rRNA from 1 species
UACGUAGGGGGCAAGCGUUGUCCGGAUUUAUUGGGCGUAAAGGGCGCGUAGGCGGCUUGGCAAGUGGAAGGUGAAAUCCCUCGGCUUAACCGAGGAACUGCCCUCCAAACUGCUUUACUUGAGGCCAGGAGAGGCGAGUGGAAUUCCCAGUGUAGCGGUGAAAUGCGUAGAUAUUGGGAGGAACACCAGUGGCGAAGGCGGCUCACUGGACCGGUACUGACGCUGAUGCGCGAAAGCGUGGGGAGCAAACGGG